rnacentral:rRNA from 1 species
UACGUAGGGUGCGAGCGUUGUCCGGAAUUACUGGGCGUAAAGAGCUCGUAGGUGGUUUGUCGCGUUGUCCGUGAAAACUCACAACUCAAUUGUGGGCGUGCGGGCGAUACGGGCAGACUGGAGUACUGCAGGGGAGACUGGAAUUCCUGGUGUAGCGGUGGAAUGCGCAGAUAUCAGGAGGAACACCGGUGGCGAAGGCGGCUAGCUGGGUUCACAUUGACGCUGAGGCUCGAAAGCGUGGGGAGCAAACAGG